GUUUGCCAUUGAUGAACCAGGUGUUCUUUUGUUUUUGUUGACGUACAGUAUUCAGCAGCAUUUUGGUACAAUCUGUUCAAAUCAGGGGACGGAGAUAUGUUGACUCGGCACGCUGGCUGCCCGGUUCUUGCUGGUUCUAAGUGGGUUAGCAACAAAUGGAUUCACGAAUAUGGUCAGGAAUUCCGACGCCCCUGCAGUCUUUCUCAACAUGAAUGAUACGCAAGUCCAAAGACGGGUUAUUUUUGUACGCACUUUAACUGUAGAUUCUAAUUACCACCAUGCAAAAUUUGUAGAUUUAAUAUUAUGUGUUAUUUUUUCUAUAUUAAUUUGUCAUGAGUAUACAAAUGGAUACAUUUUAUAAUGAAAUAUUACUUGGAAAUUUACUCAGCUUUUCAUAAUUUAUGCUUGUUUACACCUUUUGUAAUUAUAUCCCUACUAUUCAUCAAAAGCAAAAUAGUUACCACAAAAUGUGAAAAUGUUAGUAAACAAGAUUAAAAUAUUUUGACUGAGACAACAAGAAGGUGGUUUCACUAAAAGUUUCCAUUAUCUGUACCAUAGGUCCCAAGUUGGAAGAAACCACUGUUUGUGCUUUCUUCAUUAAAUUUUACGACGCAUGGUGAUAAUACCCAUAGGCAGCCUUAUUUCCAAGAGACAAUUGUUAAUGUAUUAUUAAAAACAUGCAAAUACUUUGAAUUUGCAGGGUAAUUUUCUUUCUUGCGGGUGGCUAUAUCAAUUUCUGGGAGACUUGGGACCCUUUACAUGAUUCUUGUUGCAUUUUUAUAUAUUUUUUUACAUACGUUAGAUUCAAUAGUUAAAUUUUGAGAGACAAUAUCAACCUUGAUGGUUUGGUUAAAAAGUUUAAUGAGGAAUGAAUUAAAUAAAUUUGAGGUUGAAGGUGAAGUUAAGUGUGUUAACCACAUACUUGCCAAAGUAGUAUAAGCAAGCAAUACUGUAAAUGUACAAAUCUCCUUUAAUAAUUGAAAUAUGCUUUUUGUACAGUGUGCUAAAAAGGCCUCCAAGCCAUUGUUCUUGUCAUUUUAGACUGAUCCAUUUUAUACUGUAGCAGAGUAGUGAUUUAAACUUUUUUGGCGUAGAGUGCCUCAUUUAUAUUUAAUAAACCAAACAUUGAUUCUUGUAAUGAAAAAUAGAAUUAAAAUUUCUAAACAAUUAUUUACAUAUUUAAAUGAAGUGGUUUAAAUUAUUACUAAAGGUUCAUGUUCCAACAUUCGCCAUUUGCUAUAAAAUUUUAGCCCAUUAUGUCACAGUAGUUUUAAAGCAAAUUAUAUUUCCGGUGCUAUUCAAGCUUUAUCAAUAAAUGUACACAAAGAAUGAAAAUAAA